AGUUCCCCACAGCACAGAGAGGAAGCAAGGUCUUUGCAUGCCCUGUUCACUUGGCCAAACAUUGCCCUAGAUGUGCAAUUCAACCCAUAUAAAGCAAGCGUAAUUCAAGAGCCCUGACUCUUUCACCAUUUCAUGAUGGCUUAUUACUCGCACACGGCAUUGUCAGGUUCCAGCAACUCUGUGUGCAGCAGGCAGAAAUGCAGUGUUUAUCUCUGACAGGCAAACAUUCUUAGGCUCAUCGGCAUGAGUAUCCACGCUGAACUGGCUAUCGGGGAAGUAGAUCCCUGCAUGGGAAAGUCAAGUAUCCCCACUGUGUAGAGCUGGUCCACAAUGGAGAGGAGGAAAAGUUUUGCAUUGGACCAAAUCACUGCCUUAGAAGGAAAGAGAUUGCAAUCCCAUUCAUUUUUAAGAUCUGCAAUGGGUUGGGAUGAUACCCAUUUAAAAAAGAAAAAAAAAGAGGUUACCUCUUUGGCCUCUUUGGCAAAGGAUAUGAACUAGUAAUAAAGCCUCAGCAUCAAGGCUUGGGAGUCUGGCUCAAAGUGGCUAAGACUAGAAGCAUCUUCUAACAUAAAUAUGGCAGCAUUAGGAAAAUAGCUUGGCCUUUAGAGAGACCCAGAUUAUCUUCACCUUAAAAACUACCAAGACCCUGGUCCAGCAAGACCACCAUCACAGCAGUAAAUACAUAGCCACCAACUUCACAGAAGGUUUUCCACUGAGACAUUGUGAAAACCACAAUCCAUUACCGGUGGAUGAGUCCCAGCUCUCUUACUACCUGGAGCUUCCAAGCAAGACUUACCUGUCCUUUGUUCCAGAUUGGUUCCUGGGAUCCUGGACCAACACAAAGAGAAGAGGAAAGCCUCAAGGGAAAUAAAAGUGAAGGUUUCAGUGAUAGUUUAAAUAUAUAUUUUUAAAUGUUAGCUUUUUUUUAAAUACUUCACAGUGAUGGAUGGAGUAUUUCAACCACAAUGGCAAAGAAUGAAUUACCGGCAGUGUCAGAGUUUCUUGUUGCUGUGGGAAGACAGCUGCCAUGUUGAGAGGUGCCUUGUGGAGAGGCUCAUGUGGCGAGGAACUGAGACUGGCUUCUAUCCAACAACCAGUGAGGAACUAAGGCCCUAAAGUCCUAUAGUCCACAAGGAACUAAAUCCUACCAACAACUACAUGAGUGAGCCUGGAAUCUGAUUUUCCCCAGUGGGGACUUAAGGUACCUACAACCUGGCUGUUAUGGGCUAAACUGCAUCCUGCCCAAAUUUAUAUGUUUGAGUCUUAACUCCCAGCACUUCAGAACAUGGUUUUGUUUGGAGACAUAGUCAUUAAAGAGGUAAUGAAGUUAAAAUGAGGUCAUUAGGAUGAGUCCUAAUCCAAUAGGACUGGUGUUCUUAUAUGAAGAGGAAAUUUGAACACAGACACAUAUACAGGAAAGACCAUGCGAAGAAGACACAGAGAGGAAACGGCCAUCUACAAUCCAAGGAGAGAGGCCUCAGAACAAGCCAACCCUGCAGAUACCUUGAUCUAGGCAUCCAGAAUUGUAUGAAAAUACAUUUUUGUUAUUUAAGCUACCCAGUCUGUGGUGCUUUGUUAUGGCAAUCCCAGAAAACUAAUUAACUAAUUGACUGCAGCCUUGCAAGGGACCCUGAACCAGAGGACCCAGUUAAGCCAUGUGCAGAUUCCUGACUCACAGAACUAGGAGAUAACAAAUGUUUGUUGUUCUAAGGUGCUAAAUGUUGGGAAAAUAUGUUAUGUGGCUAUGUUGUUUUGCACAUGUGCCACAUAAUGAUGUUUUGGUCAACAACAGACCACACAUAUGAUGGUGGGCCCAUAAGAUUGUAAUACUGUGUUUCUAUUAUGCAUUCUCUAUUUAUAGAUACACAAAUACUUGCCACUGUGUUACAAUUGCCUACUGUCUUCAGUACUGUAACAUGCUGUACAGGUUUGUAGCCCAGAAGCAAUAGACUAUACCAUACAGUCUGGGUGUGUAGUAGGCUAUACCAUCUAUGUUUGUGAAGUACACUCUAUGAUGUUCACAUAAUUAUGAAGUUGCCUAGUGAUGCAUUUCUCAGAAUGCAUGCCCGACAUUAAGUGACACUUGGCUUUAUGUCUAUCAUGCAUUUAAGAUAUUGCAAUAUAGUUAACUUAUGUUUUAAUACACCUCUUAAUUCUGUUUUGAUCCCACACCAACCAAGAUGCAAAACUAAUUUUUUCGCCCAUUUCCAUAAAAAACACAAUUACAAUGGGCCUAAUGUGGUUUAUGUCAUUUUCCCUGAAGAUUUGUGGUGGUAUAGGAAGCAGUCACAGCACCCUGUAUAAAGCUCUUCCAUGGCCUGCCCCCUUUUCGCAGUCACCUCUAUUAUUUGAAGGAAUGGUCCAACCAACCUCAAAGCUCUGGAAAUUUGCCCCAAAAUAAUUUUACCCUGAAGCCAUUGAAGCUUAAGUUUCAGACCCCAGUUUCACAUUCCUGUGAGUUCUGCAAGUCACUGGGAGCUAUAGAGUCUUCUACGUAGAUUUGGGAAACAAGGUGAAAAUACCUCAAGAAAUCUCAGAAGCCAGGGGCCUGCAUCUCCAAGCCUCUGGCAAUUUUCUUGUGGUUUCUAUCCUCACUCUAGAUAUUUGCUUUUGAGACUGAUUUUGAAUUCAGAAUUUUAUAUUCUCUCAAAAAGAGAAUUCUCCAAAUUCUAUAAGCUUCAGGCUCUACAAAACUUGUCUAUUCUGCCUAACUAGAUUUAUCAUAGCACGUACCAAAGAUGGCCCUGCCUCAUGAGGACUUUUCAUAUCAGACCCUUAGAUAAUAAUAUUCCCUCAUGUAAGUAAUAAUAUUUCCGCAUGUAGUUAUGUAUGAAUAAUUUUCAUUCAUCUAUAUCAUGUUGGCCAUAGUCAGUGUCCAUGUCCAAUUUAUUUUUUGUGUCCUUGGUGCUCAGAAAGUUACCAGAUGUUCAGUCAGAAUUUUAUUUAAAAUAUUUUGAUGAACUAGAUUUAAAGAUAGAUUAAAUUAAUUCCUACACAUGAUUUAAUUUAAUGGAUAAAAUAAGGGACUGAGCAUUAGCCUGAACUGUGUACUUGCAUUAGCCCUGAUGUUCCCCAGAGGGAAUAAUAUGUGAAGAAUACUGCAUAGGCUGAAAAACAAGAGUUCCCAGCAGACCAAUAUUCUUUCUUUCUGCAAGCUGUGAGACACCUGGGGAAAGUUCUCCACAUUUGGUUUUUCAGCUACUCCACCCAUGACUAGAAGGAAGAUUUUAUUUUAUUAUUUUAUUUUAUUGUAUUUUUUAACAGUAAAAGAAAAAUUAUUGUUAUUUUAAUGAAAAAGAACCACCUGGAAAGUCUAGUGACAUUUUUGAAGGCAGGGACCACUUUUUCCAGGGAUUUGUUUCCCUAUGCUAGUGCUCCAUUCACCCUUGCACCACUUCAGCAAAGCACAUAGUAGGUGUAGCAGGGAGAUGUUAAGAUGGAAACUUGGCCCUGACCAUAGGCCAAGCCAGGGUGUCUAGUCGGGAUUUAUCCAUAAACAUCAAUAUUUAUCACUAGAUGAUAUAUUGAUUUCUUAUCUGCCUCCUAUACCUAUUGAUCUAUUUUUCACAGCUUAUAGUGGGGAGGGUCAUGUUCAGUUAUUAUCCUUAAACCAAAACAAUCUCUUCUUGAAAAAUAGGAUGCUAUGCUCUGAUGUUUGCAGAGGCCAGGAAAUUCUUGCUCUGAGAGUUCCAGAAAAAAAGAUUUGUCCAGAUUUGAACUAAUUUCAGAAAAACAAAACAAAAACAAAAAACCAUCCAAGGUUAAGAGGUGACUUCUGACUCACAGAAUGAACAAGAAGGCAGGGGAAAAAAUAAGUCCCCCAAGAUUCAGGUCAAAGGAAAUGAACAGAAGGAUGAUGGAGUGGCCCAGAGGAGGAUCACGUGACAGAAAAGUCAAGAUAAAUUAGUGGCAGGACAGAGGAAAAGAACUAAAGACCUGCAGGAUCCUGAAAGAAAGAAUGAAAGGAAGCAGAUGAAGAUUCUAGAGCCCAGCUGAAUAGCCAGGCCGCCUGAGGGUAAAGAGGGAGAGAAAGAGGAAGCAGUGAAUCAAAUCAAAAAAGGAUAGAAAAAUACAGAGAAACAAGCCAGGGCACGGUGGCUCUCACCUGUAAUCCCAGCACUUUGGGAUGACAAGGAAGGCGGAUCACAUGAGGCCAGGAAUUUGAGACCACGCUGGCCAACAUGGCAAAACCCUGUCUCUACUAGAAAAAUAUGGAGGAAUGUUUGAGAGAUUGUGCACUGCCAGGGGUGAGGACAUAAAUUUAUUUGCUAUGUGAAUGUUUUUUGAGACUCAUCUAGUUCCUUUACAAUUUUAAUUUAGAAUUUCUUUAGCUCCAAAUCAGGAUCAUUAGCUGGGAGUUCUUAUAAAUCAAAAGCAAAACAAAGCUAUUGCAAACAAGUGGGAGUUCUCAUAACCUUAAUCAGAAAGGCUUGAGUUGCAUUUCCAAAUCCUGUCUCUAGAGACCAUGAGUUUUUAAUGAUAGUAUUUCCAUGAAAGCCCAAUUGAAUACAAUCACCACCCAGACCAAAGUGUAGGGGAAAUCAUAAAGCUACUUUCAAAUCCGAGUCUUCUUUGAAAUUUAAAAUUAUAUUCCAUGAUAAUGGUUCUCAUAAACCUUAAUGCAAGGGAAAAAAAAAAAACUACAGCAGAAUAAAGAAGAUUUAAAAAGAAGCAGGAUAGGAAAAAAGACAAGCCAGAGGCUAGCUAUAUCUUUUCAUAAAGCACACCUGGUCUCAUAAGCACAUGAGAGCUAGGCCCAGAAGUUUCGAGCCUUGGAGACUCACUUCAAACAAAUUCCAGGGAAAGACACUCAAUUAAGUGUUCAGGACAAUUGUAUAUCCCCAGUGCACUCAUGUACUGGAAGUGCUUAAACUCUGCCCUCAGUGGUCAAUAAAAUGGUAUUAAGUCACAGACAACCCAUUGCCAUUGGUAUUGGCUGAUGUCUCUGGUAGUUUAUGUGAUGACAAACAUUAGCCUUAACAGCAGAGCCUUCCUUUCUUUGAUUUCCGUGUGAAAUUCUGUGGCUGGGAGAUGUUUAUGUUCACAUGAACAUAACUGUAAGCAAACCAUCUUAUGGUAGACAUCUCUCCAGAAAAAGCAAAUUCCAUCUUUUUAAAUAGAAAAAAAAAACAGCAGCAAAAUGAAAUUAAUGCCUUUGGCUCAUUGUGUUGUAAAAUUAUCCUUGAAGUUAUUUCACACUGCCCUAAAAAAUCAUUGAAUUCAGAUUAUAACACAGCUCUUAUGAAGCUGUUAGGCAGUUGCAUCUUUAAUGAGGCUGAGUAGGUAAGAGGAACAGAUACUCUAGAUUGAAAGCCAUCGCAAAAAAUGUGAAACAACUGUAUUAAAUUUAAUUUAAUUUAACCAAUGGGUGUAUUUAUUCCCUGCCUUCUUCCAGAAAGGAUUUAGGGAGCUUAGGUAAUGUGGAGGUCUGAAGGUGUAGAUACUCAUGAAAGCCUCAGAUUAAUAUCUAGAACAUAUAAUGUGUCCAGAUAGUUUUCAAUUAUCAAUGCAUUAAUCUAAGCUUGGAAAGGACUUUUAAACUGCAAUGAAACCUCAACUAGUUUCAAACCUGCAUUUUUUAGUAAGCUAUUUUGUCAUUUGGAGACCCACACAAAAAACCUAUUGUUCCUUUAAAAAGGAGAGAGAGAAAAAAAGAAAAACAACCUGCUGGUGUUGCUUUGUUCAUCUUAUCACCUUAUCAUUCAGCAGCCUAUUCAGGAUCAAAUGUGGGAAAGUCUGUGUGUGAGAUUAAGCCCUAUACUCAGCACAGGAAUUUCUUGGAUAAAUGUCUUUCUUAAAUGGAUAGCUAUGUAAAAAACAGAAGAGAAACUCUAUUAUUACAAUGCAGUUGGGUUUUUUUGUUUGGUAUGUUUCAAAUCUAAUAUUUAAAAUUAAGAAAAUUCAAAGCAAACCAUCUGUGUGGAUGUUUUCAUACUCCAUUUUUGUGACAAUAGCUUGCUUAACCGAGAUUAUUAGUGGAUUCUUUCAAUAAGAGGAAGAGAGUACCAUCAUUAAGAUGGUAUGCCUCCACUAGCCUUUAUUUUUGAGAUUAAAGAAUGACAAAAAUAUUUAUAUAUAUUUUUUCAUUAUUAAGACGGAGUCUCACUCUAUCGCCAAGGCUGGAGUGCAGUGGCGCCAUCUUGGCUCACUGCAACCUCUGCCUCCCAGGUUCAAGCAAUUCUCCCACUUCGGCCUCCUGAGUAGCUGGGAUCACAGGCACCCGCCACCACACCUGGCUAAUUUUUGUAUUUUUAGUAGAGAUGGGGUUUCACCACAUUGCCCAGGCUGGUCUCAAAUUCCUGACCUCAAGUGAUCCGCCUGCCUCAGCAUCCCACAGUGCUGGGAUUACAGGCAUGAGCCACCACAACUAGCCAAAAAAUAUAUAUUUUCUUUAAAAAAAAGUUAUUUUCUGCCUAAUUACUUCAAUAUUUCAUGAACAUUGUGGGGGAAAGAAUAUUCAUACAGUUCUCUAAAUAUAUCAGUGAGUUGAGGUACCAAAUACAGAAUUCUAUUGAAUUCUAAUUGCAACACUGAAGCAGACUUACUCUAAGAUCCUGCUACCUGGACUAACCACAGACUAUACCCAGAUUCCAUCUGCAAGAUGUAGUGGAGCCAAACAUCACAUCACUGAGGAAUAUUUAUUAUAUAUCUUUCUGUAGAGGUGAGAGAGUAUUUAUAGAUAUAACAAACAAUUGGUCAGAUACUACUGGAGAUUUGGAAGCUUCACUAGGUUUUUCACUAAAUUUGUUGAUAGCCAACUCUAAAGCUCAUUCUACUACUACUAGCCAUCUUCCCUUGGACAAUUUCAUGGGCAUCGCUUCACUGAAAAGAAAAAUGAGUAAGUAUAAUCUCACUAGUACAUGAAUAACUAUUAUAAACACAAUACUUUCUACAAGGUUUAUUACUAAUCUAUGUCAUUUAAGUUCUAGAUUUUACAGUAUUUUGGAGUGAUGAAUAAAUAGCAUGCUGUUCUUCUAUAGCUAGCAAACAAGACUCAGCUUUGGAGACAAGAAGAAGGAAUACAGGAGAUGUUUCCUUGAAUGAGUCUUCUUCCUAAACUCUGCUAGAAGUAUGUCAGAAAGCGAAGGUUACCUCAGUCUCCAAGUCAUGAAAACAUGAGGUCUUUCUGUUUUCUAGGGAAAGUAUUUCAUCAUUUCCUAGUGUGGCUUUUUGCACACCCCAGAAGGAGGAAGACAAGCCAUCGUGUCACCUUUACAUGGUAGUUGAGAUGCUUCACAUUUGUACAUAACAUCUUAUAUGAUCGAAAGAGGAACUCAAACUCGACAGGGGAGAAUAAGGAAAUACAUCUAAAACUGACAAUUAUGUUAAUCCCUCAAUUCCCUGGGCCCCCAAAAUAGUCUCCUCUAUUUGCCAUUUCAAAAUAGCUAAUGAGAGGGUAAUUGGACAUGUAGACACUGAAUUUCCACUGCUCAUGGUUUCCUUCCCUGGGCUCCCAGUCACCCGGAAGGCCCCGGAUUACCUCAAAUGUCAUAACGGGUUCAUCGCAUUACGAAUUACCUCCUUCUGCCAAUAAACUACAAGUUCUUUGAGGACAGAAACUGUGAUUUAUGGGCAUUUGUAUCCCCAGAGAUUCAAAGAGUGCCUGAUACAGAGUGGUGAUAGAUGAUUUUAUCAUCUUAUCAUCAUCAUCCUCAUCAUCGUUGUACCUAAAUAGAGGUUACUUCCUGUUUCUUUUAUUUAACAAUAACCUAUUAUAAUAUAUACUAUGCAUUUUUAAUGCACUUUACAAAUAUUGUCCUCAUUUAAUCCCUGUAAGGUGAAUACUAUUAUUGGCUCCAUUUUGCAGAUAAGACACUGAGUCGUGAAAAGGCUAAGUACCUCACACAAGAUCACACAGCCAGUGACAGAACUAGGAUUUGGCUGGACUCUUAAAGACUCUGGUUUGCCAUUUAAAGGCAAUGAAUGAAGUGUUGUGGAACAAAUGUGGAUUUGGACUUUCAAGACCAACUUGAACCAGAGUCUUGAAUCUGCAACUUUACUAGCUGUGGCUUCUUUUUAAUUGAUUAACUUUCUUUUUCUGUAAAAUGGGAAUAAUGAUUCCUACCUCUUACAAGCGUUGUGGUAGGAGGUAUUCCAAAUGAGAUAAAUAUGUGAAAUCACUAAAACUUCCAGAAUACAUGGAAAUAAUAUAUGUCUGUAUUGGCAAAUUAUGAGUGUAGUAAUGAGGGAUUUACAUGGACACAUUUACAUUCUUUAGUUCAGACUCCCUUUGACGACACAUAACAAACACACACAAGAAUAUUUGCCCUGUGUCCAGCACUCUUUUGAGAAUUUCUCUCUUCUCCUCCUUCUGAUAUCCCAACCAACCAACCAGUAGGAAUGUGCCCUAGAAACUAUGUUUUACAGCUCAGUCCACAUCUUUUCACCUUACAAAUUACUUAUUGUUAGUUUCUUGGGAAAGUAAAAUUGAGAUAUUAAGAUUCUAUGAAAUUGGUUGGUGGUAUUGAAGACUGUGCUGCUGCUGCUGCUACUGCUCCAGAACUCUAGUGGAGAUAUUACAAAUGGGAGCAGAAAAAGUGAGAAGGUGGUCUGUAGAGACAGAGCACAGCACAGAGGUAGAAAGGUUGAGAUAAAGAAACAAUGCAGUGAGAGAAGGAGAGAACACAGACAUAGAAACAGAGACAUAAAGGCACCAGACACGAGAGCAGAGAUAAUUUAAUAAGGCCGUAGUUUCUCUUGGAUUUCCAGUUCCUUCUUUUAGUCAAUUCUGAUAUUUAGCACACUGCACUGCACCAGAUAUCUUGUCGCCUUCAAAUAAAGUAUUUUUCCCCCUUAAACAUGCUAAUUUGGGCUUGUAUUAUUUGCAAUCAAUAGAAUUGAGAAAAACACUCUAUGUCAUAUCUGAACUAGUAUAUCAGAAUGGUUUUCUGCCAUUGGUAACAGAGACCCAGCUCAAUGGCUUAAACACACAAGGGUUUAUCCUGUCACAUUAACAAAAAAAAAAGUGCAGAGUAG
rnacentral:lncRNA from 10 species